UAAAGGUAUCCACACAAAGUUCUUAUACUGAUCGAUCUCUCCGAGAGUACUAGCUCAUGAAGACAUCAUGCUUUGACUGAUCUAUGAGAAACAUGAUGAAGAUGAAGAAUAAAGAGACCUUCUCUUUUUUUUUCUAGAUCCAUGCAUCAGAUCUCUGAAAUAGAGAUCAAGAGAAGAACCCUUUCUUCUCAAUUUUCUCAUACACAAGAGAGAAUCUUUCUCUCUUCCUUUCACAUCUUUGAGAAGAACUUUUUUUUCUCUGAUCUUUUAUGAUAAAAAUUAGAUCUAAUCUAAUUUAAUAUGCUAAAAAUUAGAUAAAAUUCUGAGCCCUAAAAGAAUCCAAAAGAGAGACCCAAGAGAAGAACCAUUAUUCUUUUUUCUUCUCCCUUUUUCUCCUUAAUCUAGAACUCUAGGAAGGCCCAAACACCCAAUCAAAUUUUUUUGGUAUUUUUUUUCUAAAUUUUUAUGUUAAAAAUUAGAUCUAAUCUAAUUUUUAUCCUUAAAAAAUUAGAAAAAAAAUCUGAAAGAAGAACUUCUUCUUCAAGGCCGGGCACAAGAAAAAAGACCCUUCUUCUUCCUUCUCUUUCUUUCAUUGGGAAAAAUUUUUUUUCUCUAAUUUUUUACUAUAUAACCAAUAGAGGAGCCUCUCUUUGAUGCCCAAAAACCAAUAAGAAAGUCUCUCAAAUUUCUUUCAAGAAGGG
rnacentral:lncRNA from 1 species